rnacentral:rRNA from 1 species
AACGAACGCUGGCGGCGCGCCUAAUACAUGCAAGUCGAGCGAGAAGACGUAGCAAUACGUUUGUAAAGCGGCGAACGGGUGAGGAAUACAUGGGUAACCUACCCUCGAGUGGGGAAUAACUAGCCGAAAGGUUAGCUAAUACCGCGUACGCUCCUUGGACUUCGGUUCAGGGAGGAAAGCGAUACCGUGGGUAUCGCGCUCUUGGAUGGGCUCAUGUCCUAUCAGCUUGUUGGUGAGGUAACGGCUCACCAAGGCUUCGACGGGUAGCUGGUCUGAGAGGACGAUCAGCCACACUGGCACUGCGACACGGGCCAGACUCCUACGGGAGGCAGCAGUAAGGAAUAUUGCGCAAUGGGCGAAAGCCUGACGCAGCAACGCCGCGUGAAGGAUGAAAUCCCUCGGGA